GACGAACGCUGGCGGCGUGCCUAAUACAUGCAAGUCGAACGAACCGCGACUAAGUGCUUGCACUAAGUCAAGGUGAGUGGCGAACGGGUGAGUAACACGUGGGUAACCUACCUCAUAGUGGGGGAUAACAGUCGGAAACGACUGCUAAUACCGCAUAGGACAUGGGAUCACAUGAUUCUGUGAGGAAAGGUGGCGCAAGCUAUCGCUAAGAGAUGGACCCGCGGUGCAUUAGCUAGUUGGUAGGGUAACGGCCUACCAAGGCGAUGAUGCAUAGCCGACCUGAGAGGGUGAUCGGCCACAUUGGGACUGAGACACGGCCCAAACUCCUACGGGAGGCAGCAGUAGGGAAUCUUCCGCAAUGGACGCAAGUCUGACGGAGCAACGCCGCGUGAGUGAAGAAGGUCUUCGGAUCGUAAAGCUCUGUUGUUAGAGAAGAACAGCGCAUAGAGUAACUGUUAUGCGUGUGACG
rnacentral:rRNA from 1 species